CAGAAUAUUUCCGGUAUCCNGCAGUUCGAUUAAUGCUAUGCGAGUCGAGAGUCCUCGGGACUCGGCGUACCGCUCAGUAACACGUGGGUAACCUGCCCUAUGCUGGGGAAUAACCUCGGGAAACUGAGAAUAAUGCCCCAUAGCCCACUACGCCUGGAACGGUGAGUGGGUCAAAGCCCCGGCGGCAUAGGAUGGGCCUGCGCCAUAUCAGGUUGUAGGGGGUGUAAAGUACCCUCUAGCCAUUNNUUUUUNCGGNUGUUGGGAGACAUUGCAACGGA
rnacentral:rRNA from 1 species